rnacentral:rRNA from 1 species
UAGAGGAAGUAAAAGUCGUAACAAGGUCUCCGUUGGUGAACCAGCGGAGGGAUCAUUACAGAGUUGCAAAACUCCCACAAACCAUCGCGAAUCUUACCCGUACGGUUGCCUCGGCGCUGGCGGUCCGGAAGGCCCUCGGGCCCCCCGGAUCCUCGGGUCUCCCGCUCGCGGGAGGCUGCCCGCCGGAGUGCCGAAACCAAACUCUUGAUAUUUUAUGUCUCUCUGAGUAAACUUUUAAAUAAGUCAAAACUUUCAACAACGGAUCUCUUGGUUCUGGCAUCGAUGAAGAACGCAGCGAAAUGCGAUAAGUAAUGUGAAUUGCAGAAUUCAGUGAAUCAUCGAAUCUUUGAACGCACAUUGCGCUCGCCAGUAUUCUGGCGAGCAUGCCUGUUCGAGCGUCAUUUCAACCAUCAAGCUCUGCUUGCGUUGGGGAUCCGCGGCUGCCCGCGGUCCCUCAAAAACAGUGGCGGGCUCGCUAGUCACACCGAGCGUAGUAACUCUACAUCGCUAUGGUCGUGCGGCGGGUUCUUGCCGUAAAACCCCCCAAUUUCUAAGGUGACCUCGAUCAG